CUUUUCCCUUCCCUUCCCUUCCCUCCCUUUCAUGCCACCCCUCGCAGCCGCCCAUUGUUGCUGCCGGGCGCUGGCAGCCGGGGGCAGUUGUGGCAGGGGAGCGGGCGGCGGAGGAGCCGGCGCCGGUUGCUAGGAGACUGCAGAGCUGCAAGGUGAACACCACCACCACCACCACCACCACCAGCACCACCACAUCGGCGGCUCCCCGAGGCUGGCUUCCCACCCUGCGCAGGUGUAUCAGCCUGGAUGUAGUCUCCCGGUACGGAGUGUAAAAUUUGCAGCAGAAGUACAGUUUAGCACUGAAAAAGCUCUUCCUCAUCUGAACCAUCAUUCAAAAUGCAGGAUGAAAGUAGCCAAAUAGAAGUUUUCUAUCACAUUGUCUGGAGGAUUCCCAGAACAUUCUUCGGAAACCUGGGCAUAUCUGUCUCAGGCUGCCCCUAAAAAGAUGAAGCAGGAAUGUGGCAAAAUGAACUCAAAACACACAAAGAGAAGACGUUCUAGACUAACCUGCAAGGUGUUCAGGUUCACUGAUAACAUGCAAACCAGAGUCUGCUUACCGUUGUCUGUUCCAGAUACGAUGUCAGAGCAAGAAGGGAGACUUAGAAGUAGUGUGACUCAAAAAAGAAGUAUUUUGAAAGAAUGAUUUACUGGGGAACCAAGUUAGAAGAUGACAGAAGUGAAGAUUGGUCAUCUAUGAGGAGAAAUGACAAGGU